AAUAACAGAGUGUAUAGAGACAAAUGUCAUAACAUCAGAGUAUUUAUUACAUAGCGGAAGACUUAAUACAAAAUAAAAGAAUAAACAUAAAUCAAACUAAGGAUCGUCGGCGCCAAUGUCAACUGAGAAACGCCACCUAGAUCAGAUCAUACUCCUCGCCCUGUGGCUCCUCCUGAACCACCUGCUCUUCUCCUGUGGGGGGGUGUGAGACAGCAAGAGUGAGCUCACAUACGUUCAUAGCUCAACAAGUCGUGGGGAAUAAUGUGGCAUGAACCCACCAAAGGUGGGAGUUCAUGAAGUGUAAAGCUGAUGAAUGAAAUAAAGGCUAAAGCUGAGCAUUGCUUUUAUAAGUAGUCAAAAUUUUAUUAGCAGUUACUAAGUGUAAGUGAAUACCAGACCAUAGUAAUAAUAAGUAAAAGUAAUAAUAAAAUAAUCCCAAAUGCAAUGAAAUGACAGGUUAAGUUUAAGUUCCAUAGAUUAAUCAUGUGAGUGUCCGAGCCGCUCAUGACCGUGAGCACGGCUAGUAUACCAGUUUUACACUCUGCAGAGGUUGCGCAUCUUUACCCACAAGUCGUGUUACCCAUUUGCCAUGGAGUUGAUCAGACCCCAUACACCUCUACCAAGGAAGCGAGGCAGGGUACCACUACGAGGCCUUUACAAAGUUCCACUAGCUUCAGACUACCCGCUACAGUUUAUAGGAAGCUCCAGUGCAGGGUUCUUGUCUGACCGCCAUCGCAGCAAAAUCAACCCAAGGACCUCCCUACACUGACCACUCCCCUACUGCCCUUGCCCCUUUCGGGUAAGGUAGCCCUCCACUAGCUUUCCUAGUUAAUCAGCCAAGGGCGUCCCAUUAAACCCUUGUGGUAGCACUGUUUUCCCGGGUGGUUCUCCAUGUUCCCAUUAACAUAAUGAUCUUAUCAUGAACAUAAAAUAAUGAACAGAUAAUAACAGGUGUAAAAAUGAGUGAUGAAUAUCUCUAUACCCAAAUCCACAUAAAGCAAUAGCAUGAACUACCCAAAACUUUAGUAGUAAAACCAGUGGUGAAACAAGGUAUAAAUAUAGUCAAAUCUAGGGUAACCUAUUGGGUCCCAGCAAAAUUAACCUAUACAGAUCAUUAUGAAUAAUAAGAACAUGGAUAGGUAAAAGAAGUGAUCAAGGGCACAACUUGCCUUCCACAAGCUCCUGCUCAGCAGUCUCUACUUGCUGAACC
rnacentral:lncRNA from 1 species